rnacentral:rRNA from 1 species
UACCAGACUCCUACGGGAGGCAGCAGUGGGGAAUAUUGCACAAUGGGGGAAACCCUGAUGCAGCGGCGCCGCGUGAGUGAAGAAGUAUCUCGGUACGUAAAGCUCUAUCAGCAGGGAAGAAAAUGACGGUACCUGACUAAGAAGCCCCGGCUAACUACGUGCCAGCAGCCGCGGUAAUACGUAGGGGGCAAGCGUUAUCCGGAUUUACUGGGUGUAAAGGGAGCGUAGACGGUGCAGCAAGUCUGAUGUGAAAGGUCGGGGCCCAACCCCGGGACUGCAUUGGAAACUGCCCGGCUAGAGUGCUGGAGAGGUAAGCGGAAUUCCUAGUGUAGCGGUGAAAUGCGUAGAUAUUAGGAGGAACACCAGUGGCGAAGGCGGCUUACUGGACAGUAACUGACGUUGAGGCUCGAAAGCGUGGGGAGCAGACAGGAUUAGAUACCCGUGUA